UGAUCCAUCCCACUGAAUCCAGCCUGAAAGCUAAAGUGCUUCUAUCUGUUCACUAACAGGAAGUGUAAGAAAGAAGUGAAAAAAUAUAUAAAACAGGAAACAGCGAUUCAGGGAGGAGCACGGAGGAGUGACUGAACUACAGAAGAGAGAAAACCUUCCACGUUUCAUUAACAGACCACAAAGGUUAAAGAUUUCCAACAUGCUGCCACUGGACUGUUAUCUUAUUUCUCUACUGAUGAUGACUUCUCUAACAGGAGUCAGAUGUGAAGAACUCACUGCAGACAACGAAGACACGUCCAGUUUAGAAAGCAGCGCAGUUACUCUGUCCUACAGAUACUCCAAACAAGCGUAUGAAAGCGAUGAAUUUUACUGGUAUCGACAACAUCCAGGAAAAGCACCAGAGCUCCUGAUCGCUCACAUGGGAUCAAAGAAUUUAAUGAAACGAGAAUCCUCCAGAGUGUCUUUCAAAGUGCUCGAUGACAGAAGACAAAUAACAAUUUCCUCUGCUGCAGUGACAGACUCUGCUGUGUACUACUGUGCUCUGCAGCCCACAGUGACAGGAAACACCAAAACUCUGUACAAAAACCUUUGGAGCAAAGACAACAGAAUACUCCACAACAUCCACUAGAGGGAGCCACACACCUUUGUUAGGAUACAGACUAACACAUAUCACACAGCUGUGAUGAAGAGCUUCAGGUGAAGUUAAUGUGAUGUGAGCCUCCUCCUCCUCCUGACUACAGAAA